UGGGGAAUUUUGCACAAUGGGGGAAACCCUGAUGCAGCGACGCCGCGUGAUUUAGAAGGCCUUCGGGUUGUAAAAAUCUUUUCUAUGGGAAGAAAAUGACAGUACCAUAGGAAUAAGGACCGGCUAAUUACGUGCCAGCAGCCGCGGUAAUACGUAAGGUCCGAGCGUUGUCCGGAAUCAUUGGGCGUAAAGGGUACGUAGGCGGGUAAGCAAGUUAGAAGUGAAAUCCUAUAGCUCAACUAUAGUAAGCUUUUAAAACUGCUCAUCUUGAGGUAUGGAAGGGAAAGUGGAAUUCCUAGUGUAGCGGUGAAAUGCGCAGAUAUUAGGAGGAAUACCGGUGGCGAAGGAGACUUUCUGGCCAUAACCUGACGCUGAGGUACGAAAGCGUGGGUAGCAAACAGG
rnacentral:rRNA from 1 species